rnacentral:misc_RNA from 1 species
GCGGAUGUCGUAGCGUUUAGGCACUGCAAAUUUGGGGAGGCGAGGCUGUCCUUUGAAUUGAUCCAUUUCUUUCUUUCGGAUUUGUUCUAUUUGCUUCCUCAUUGCCCUUUGAUUCCAUUUCCAUAUAAUCCACAAGCAAGCCAAAACAACAGUUGCGCCCGCAAGCAAAAUCACCAUCCUGUCCAUCACACCGUUCUCCAUGAUAAAUCACUACCCACUUUCACAGCUUUUUUUGUUCUCG